AGAGUUUGAUCAUGGCUCAGGACGAACGCUGGCGGCGUGCUUAAUACAUGCAAGUCGAACGAGGGCUCCGGUGCUUGCACUGGAAGACCCGAGUGGCGAACGGGUGAGUAACACGUGACCAACCUGUCCGAGGGCGAGGGACAACCCGGGGAAACCUGGGCUAAUACCGCAUGAUGUCACACUUCCGCAUGGUCGUGUGAUCAAAGGGGGCCUCUUCUUGAAAGCUCCUGCCCACGGAGGGGGUCGCGACGUAUCAGCUUGUUGGUGGGGUAACGGCCUACCAAGGCUACGACGCGUAGCGGAUCUGAGAGGAUGAUCCGUCACAUUGGGACUGAGAUACGGCCCAGACUCCUACGGGAGGCAGCAGUAGGGAAUAUUGCGCAAUGGACGAAAGUCUGACGCAGCGACGCCGCGUGUGGGAGGAAGCCUUUCGGGGUGUAAACCACUGUCAGAGGGGAAGAACCGUGCUUUGUCGAAUAGGCCUGGCACCUGACGGUACCCUCAGAGGAAGCGCCGGCUAACUCCGUGCCAGCAGCCGCGGUAAGACGGAGGGCGCAAGCGUUGUUCGGAAUUACUGGGCGUAAAGCGCGGGCAGGUGGUCCGUUAAGUCGUCUGUGAAAAUCCGGGGCUCAACCCCGUGAAAUGCAGGCGAUACUGGCGGACUGGAAAUCGGUA
rnacentral:rRNA from 1 species